rnacentral:lncRNA from 1 species
AAAAAAGAAAGAAAGAAAGAAAAAAAGGGAUUUUCUACAUAAAAUCAGCUGAUUUUUGGAGAGAAGAACAAAAGCUGAAAAUAAACUAAAAAUAGAUUUUGUCAAGACUCUGCCAUAUUGUUAUACCGUAACCGACUGAGUCUCUUUCUCUAUCUUCUCUCUCUAAAAUUUGUAGACAUCUGUCUGUAUGUAUUGAUUAUGGUGAUCUGGGGUUUAUCCAUAGAGGGGAGGAAAAGGGCGGAAGGGAGUUCAAGUGCAAUUAAUAGUGUUAUUAAAUGGCUUUCUCAAGUACAAUUGUUGAGAAUACAAGCCCUCUAGAGCAAGAAAGCAAGUUUCUUGUUGAAGCUCCAUUCAUGGCGUCAAAUAAAGGCAAUAACACCAUCAACGCACAUGCAGUUUUAGAACAAGAACAAAAUUUUCAGGAAUUUUAUCAUCAGAAUCAGAAUAAUCUGAUUUCUUUUGGAAUGAUGCAAUCAGCUUCAUCAGCAGCCAUGCCUUGCAACUUCAUGUAAUCUUUUUUGUCUCUCUUCUUCUUGCAAUAGUCACCACCUCAUCACUUUUUUCUUUUUUGAAAUUCUCAAAAAAUAUUCUCUCUCUCUCUCUCUCAAUUUUAGACCAUAGACUGUUCUCUUGAUUAUUUCCUCUUUGGCACAGUUUGAUACUAUUAUGCUUAAUUAUAUAGCCGUUGAUUUAUAUGCAGAAGCAAAGAUAGUGGAGCUUAUGAUUUGGGUGAAGCCCUUUUCCUCUAUCUUGAUAGCCAAGAACAGUCGAGGGCUAAAGAACAAAGUCGUAAAGAUCUCCCUCCUUCCCUCCCUCUCCCCCUCUUUUCG